rnacentral:lncRNA from 1 species
AAGAGGGAAAAGAAGCCAUAACCAUUGUAUCUCGCAUGUAUGAAAUGAAAUGCAUCAAACCCAGUUCAGUUUCUGCCUUUUAAAAUACUGAAGGUGAAAAACAGGGAAGCUGUGAAUAAUGUGUGAUUCCAAUAGGAUCUAGUGAAUCCUGGAUUCCUCAGGAAAAUUUUGGCAGUCUGCCCAACAAAAGUUCCAGACUUGG